GUAGAAUGCCUCUUUUCGGUCCAUAGCCAAAAGAGCAGAGGGAAGAAAAAGAAAAAGAAAAAAAAAGUGUAAGGGUUCCUCUUAGUUUUCAAGUAGAAAAAUCUUGAUCUACGUAGAUCCAACGGUCAGAUCUUCAAUCCGUCUUCGAAAACGUGAUCCUUGUACUCGGAUCUACGUUUUACCAAUUGUUUAAUGUAAAACACUAAACUCAUGAUUUUGGGAUUUUUGGGUAAAAUCCUAAAUGUGAGUUUAAUCCUCUAUAUUCUUUAGGUACUUGGGCUUAUUGGAGCUUACUUGAGGCUACCCAAACUUUGGGUUGAAGUUUGGUGAAUUUGGCGGCACUUUGUGGAUUGAGCCUAGGACUUGUAAGUGUUGGUGUGCAAGCAGUCAAUGUACCCCAGACAUCGAUGAUGACCCUGUGCCACACUACUUCGGAUACUGUGACUGAGCCUAUCACGAUGGUUGUAGGUGUCUAACUCGGAUAGUCCACUUUUGUAGAUGUUUUGUAUAUAGCUUGUGCCAUAUGUGACAUGCAUUUUGUACAAACUUUUUUAAUGUAUAUAAUAUUUUGAUUAAGCCUUAGUUAGUUAGACAAUUAAAUGGCUCUGUUGUUGUAAUUAACAUAUAUGAUAGUUUUAUAAGAUUU